UGAUCUGCAGUGCUGUAGGAACUUGACUUUCGGUUCCUACUAACUAGUGGUUUUGAAAGCAGAUGGUGUUUCUCGGCUCCACCUUAGGUAGUCUGGACCACCUUCAAGCAAAGAGAGAGCUAAGAACUGAGCAUCUAAGCCAACUGUGGUAACGCACACCAAUAAUCCAACCCUUGGGUGGUAGAGGCAAAGACAUCAGGAUUCCAAGACCAGAAGCCACCUUGAGUUACAAGAGACCAUGCCUAAAACGCUGGUUGUAAGGGCUGCAACGACGAUGGCUAAGGUACCUCCCAAUAAACAAGAAUCGUUGUUACCCGUAAGGCGACCAGCACAUGAGGUAACUUUGAGUUACCUGGCGUAACUCAAAAGGCGUGGACAAAGCCACCCAAGGACAGGUGACCUGCACUUGGAGGGAACUCACGCCCGCGACACGCACAGAGCUGCGGACGCUCCGUGAGGCGUGCGAUCUGGAGCCUGCGAACUGGAGGAGCAGCCGGCAGAGGCGGGGCUCCAAGGCAACUCCAGGACUCCCGCAGGCGGGGAGGCCCCGGCCGGUCUCUAACCUUCAUCUCCCGCUCAGGGAUCAUGGCAUCCAUCUCGUCUCCCAUCGUCCCGCCUUCAGGAUGUCCAAGUAGUUGCUGCUGCCGCUGCCGCUACCGCCCGCGGCCUUUCAAACACAGCCCAGGCCGCUCAGGCCUCAACUUCCUUCCCUCAGCGCCAGCGGCGCGCGGAAGAUGCGCGUUUCCGGCGCGCGUGGCUGACGUCACCCAGGCCGGUUUCAGUGAGCUCCGAGGCAGCGGAGGGCAGCUCGGAAGUCGCGCGCUUGUCAAUCCUCAGGGCCCCAUUGGCCAGUUCCGGGCAGGUGUGGACAUGAGGCGCGGGCCGGCGUCCGCCUUCCUUUGGAUGAAGUGCGUACAGGCUAGCCUUUUAAUUCUCUUCUUUAGAGAGACGCUCGCUUUGUCAUCCGAAGCCUCUUGAGACUUCCCGGUUGCACUUACCUGCAGGGCUCUUAGAAACUUAGACUUAGAGAAGUUAGGAGCUUUCAAACUUUCCAGGAAAGAGCCGGCAGAGAGGUUCGGUUAGCGGGUGGACUGCACUGUGUGCCGGUGCAGAGCUCUUUUAAAAACCGAGAAGAAAAGGGACAAAAGAUCGGUUUUGUUUACUGUUUUCGAGGUAGUCGUUUCAGAGCCUAAGCCAUAUCCACUUCACAUCUCAGCUCUUGGGGAUUACAGGCCAGAGGAUCAGAAAUUCAAGGUCUUCCUAGGCUCCAUAGCAAUCUCCAAAUAGCCUGAGUUACAUGGGACCCUGAAACCCUGUCUGAAAAAAAUACAGAAUUCCACACAAAGCAGUUAAAUUAUCCAAUAGCUUUCAGCCAGGAAGGGUUAAGAUUCAGAUCUGUGUAUACUGACUGAUGUUGAAAUUUCUGGAAUAAAAGUAGAGCUUCCUAUCUUGGAGCUGAUGGGUCAGCUCCUGAGGACA